rnacentral:tRNA from 1 species
GCCGGAGUAGCUCAGCUGGUAGAGCAAGCGCCUUGUAAGCGCUAGGUCGUGGGUUCGAGCCCCGCCUCCGGCUCCA